GAUGAAGAACGUAGCGAAAUGCGAUACGUAAUGUGAAUUGCAGAAUUCAGUGAAUCAUCGAGUCUUUGAACGCACAUUGCGCCCCCUGGUAUUCCGGGGGGAAUGCCUGUCCGAGCGUCAUUGCUGCCCUCAAGCACGGCUUGUGUGUUGGGCCUCCGUCCUCCUCCCGGGGGACGGGCCCGAAAGGCAGCGGCGGCACCGCGUCCGGUCCUCGAGCGUAUGGGGCUUCGUCACCCGCUCUUGUAGGCCCGGCCGGCGCUUGCCGACACAUCAAUCUUUUUUCCAGGUUGACCUCGGAUCAGGUAGGGAUACCCGCUGAACUUAAGCAUAUCAAUAAGCGGAGGA
rnacentral:misc_RNA from 1 species